GACGAACGCUGGCGGCGUGCUUAACACAUGCAAGUCGAACGGAAAGGCCCUGCUUUUGUGGGGUGCUCGAGUGGCGAACGGGUGAGUAACACGUGAGUAACCUGCCCUUGACUUUGGGAUAACUUCAGGAAACUGGGGCUAAUACCGGAUAGGAGCACCUGCUGCAUGGUGGGGGUUGGAAAGUUUCGGCGGUUGGGGAUGGACUCGCGGCUUAUCAGCUUGUUGGUGGGGUAGUGGCUUACCAAGGCUUUGACGGGUAGCCGGCCUGAGAGGGUGACCGGCCACAUUGGGACUGAGAUACGGCCCAGACUCCUACGGGAGGCAGCAGUGGGGAAUAUUGCACAAUGGGCGGAAGCCUGAUGCAGCAACGCCGCGUGCGGGAUGACGGCCUUCGGGUUGUAAACCGCUUUCGCCUGUGACGAAGCGUGAGUGACGGUAACGGGUAAAGAAGCACCGGCUAACUACGUG
rnacentral:rRNA from 1 species